UUAUAUGAAUUUUUUGAUAAAUUUUUACAUGAAGAUCAAGUGUAAAUUUAAAGAGAAUUGGCGGUAUAAAGUUAAAUUCUGAGAAACUUGUUUAAUUAAAAUGAAAUUACACAAAUUAUCUUACCUUUAUAGUUAAGUUUAUUUAUUGCUGUUUAAUUAAUAGAUUGAAAAAAAUUAAUAAAAUUAAAUUAUUUUAAAAAUUUCAAGUCAAGAUGUAGUAAUAUAAAGGUUUAAAUGAGUUGCUUUUUCUUAAAAAUUUGAGAAAAUAAAAUAUAUGAAAAAUAAUUAAAAAUAUUGGAUUAGGAAGUAAAAAUAAAGUAGUUAGUUUUUUUGAUAAGAUAAAUUUAUAUGU
rnacentral:rRNA from 1 species